AUCGAGGGAGGAAAAGAUAGAGAGAGUUUGAUGCGUACCACUGAUGGUGGUUGAUUAGGGUUUUGGUUUAAAUCUGGAUCUAUGUUACAACCAAGAAGAAAAAGGGGAUUUUGCUGUUUUAGAUGGCAGAAUACAACUGAAUCGAAGAUAAGGUAAUGAACCUGCUGCUGUUGAAUAGAAGAUGGGUAUUUGUUAAUCGAGGUUGGAGGAUGAAUUGACGCUGAUGAAUAGAGGGCCAGGGAAGAAGAAGAUGCAGAAAUUGAUCUCUGUUGAGGUCGAAAUAAUGUGUUGGUGUUCUUGAGGAUAAAAGGGUCUGAUUCGAAAUGGGUUUUUGGGUUGAAUCUGGAAGAGGAUCAGCGAGAGUUUGAUGAUGGGGAUUUAUGAGAUUUCAGUAAACACCGAUUCAGGGUUUAAUGGGUUUGAGAGAUUCAUGAAUUUUUUGGAGAAGCUGAUGGUUGAAGAUUGCUGGUGAUUAGAACUGGAUGAAUUGGUGUUGCUGUGGAGCAGUAUUGAGAAACAAUUGCAGUUGUAGAUGAAAAUGGUACUGCAGAUUAUGGAUGGAAUUGUAGGUGAUUCAAAGACGCUGGUGGUUUGCAGUUGAGCAUGGGAAAGCAACAGGAAGAAUGGGAUCUCGCUGCAAUUGAAGAAUUUGUGUUGCUGCUGCUAGAAAUCAAGUUUGGGUUGGAGGGGAAUAAGUUAGGUUUUGAUGAAAUUGAAUUCACAGAGAGGAGUUGAUGGUUCUCGAGCAGAAAUUAAGAAGAAACUGGUGCUUCUGUUUAAUUGAAAUGGUGGAUUAUUGUAGGUGAUAUGAAUGAUUAAGGAUAUGAAGUGCUAGUGGUGAUUGAAGCAACCUGGUGGUGGUGGUUUUGCUGAGAUGGAGGAAAUUGAGAAAAGUCUCGAGUUCUGGUGGCGAUGUUAUUGCAGUGGUGCUGCUACUGGUGAUGUUGGUGGUGCAAAACAAGGGCCAUGGGGUGACCCUUUUGAUGGUGGAAAUCGUGAUAGAAGAAUCAGCAAUAGGUGGGCGGGUUCGAGGAAGCACGGCAACUCGGCAACAACCCAUGACCAGCCUGAAGAAAAACAUGAGGAACUUGUUGUGGAAAUGAAGGAAAUUAUUUCUGAUGAGGUGGAGCAGAGUGAUGCACCAGCAUCUAAAGCAAUUAAUGACUGGGAUGAGUCCAAAUCUAAUUAGGAGAAGGAAGCCGAGACCAAGAAAGCUGAGGAGGAGGCCAAGAAAGCCGAGGAGGAAGUUUCCAAGAAAGCGAGGAGGAGGCCAAGAGAGCUGAGGAGGAAAAGAAGAUGACACUAGAGGAGUAUGAAAAGGUACUUGAAGAGAAAAGAAAAGUUCUAGUUGCAAUGAAGGCUUAAGAGAAGAAAGUUGAGUUGUACAAAUCGUUUGAGUCUAUGAAGCUGCUUAAGAAAGAGAAAGAAGAAAUUUUCGUCAAACUGGGCUCUUACAAGAAUUCAGGAAAACAAAGAGAAGAUGGUGAUCGCGAGGAGAAAGUCAAAAAGUCUGUUAGCAUCAUUGAGUUCCUGAAACCAGCUGAUGGUGAAAGGAGAAACUAUAGGUCUGUAGGUGGUCGACGCGACAGUGGUGAAGGUGGUCGAGGUGACAGGGGUGAAGGUGAACGUGGUGCCACCAGAGGCCCCUAAACCUGUAUAGGCACAUGAUAAACGUAAAUUUGCAAUGAAUUGUUGAUUUUUUUUUCGCGUUUCACUAAGUUCAGUGCGAUGAAAGGCUGUUUCUUGUUGUUACUAGCCAUGCGCCGAAUUUGGAUCAUUUUAUGUACAACAUGUGCUUAUUAAACAUCAGUGCUAUCUUUUGACAUUGGACAUAGGGGUUUAGGAUCUUUAGAAGGCCGACUUCAGAGGUCAAGUAUGUUAGUGAUGCUGUUAUGUUUUAUUACAUGGCCCAAGGAUCGAAUACUGUGCUCAUAGACAUCUUAAUUUUCAAGUAUCUUAGUGAUGCUGCUAUUUUUUGAAUGUGUAUUUAACACUGGUAGGUUAACUUGAAUGAAUGUAAAUGUGUUACACUGGCAGUUUAAUGUGAAUGUGAAAUA